rnacentral:tRNA from 3 species
AAUCCGUCGACGUGAAAAGUCUUGAGGGUUCAAGUCCCUCUACCCCCA